AUUGAACGCUGGCGGCAUGCUUUACACAUGCAAGUCGAACGGUAACAGGCCGCAAGGUGCUGACGAGUGGCGAACGGGUGAGUAAUGCAUCGGAACGUGCCCAGUCGUGGGGGAUAACGCAGCGAAAGCUGCGCUAAUACCGCAUACGAUCUCUGGAUGAAAGCGGGGGACCGAAAGGCCUCGCGCGAUUGGAGCGGCCGAUGUCAGAUUGGGUAGUUGGUGGGGUAAAGGCCCACCAAGCCAACGAUCUGUAGCUGGUCUGAGAGGACGACCAGCCACACUGGGACUGAGACACGGCCCAGACUCCUACGGGAGGCAGCAGUGGGGAAUUUUGGACAAUGGGCGCAAGCCUGAUCCAACAAUGCCGCGUGCAGGAAGAAGGCCUUCGGGUUGUAAACUGCUUUUGUACGGAACGAAACGGUCUGGGCUAAUACCCUGGGCUAAUGACGGUACCGUAAGAAUAAGCACCGGCUAACUACGUGCCAGCAGCCGCCGUAAGAC
rnacentral:rRNA from 1 species